rnacentral:rRNA from 1 species
AGUGAACGCUGGCGGUAGGCCUAACACAUGCAAGUCGAACGGCAGCACAGUAAGAGCUUGCUCUUACGGGUGGCGAGUGGCGGACGGGUGAGGAAUACAUCGGAAUCUACUUUUUCGUGGGGGAUAACGUAGGGAAACUUACGCUAAUACCGCAUACGCCCUACGGUUGAAAGCAGAGGAUCUUCGGACCUUGCGCGAUUGAAUGAGCCGAUGUCGGAUUGGCUAGUUGGCGGGGUAAAGGCCCACCAAGGCGACGAUCCGUAGCUGGUCUGAGAGGAUGAUCAGCCACACUGGAACUGAGACACGGUCCAGACUCCUACGGGAGGCAGCAGUGGGGAAUAUUGGACAAUGGGCGCAAGCCUGAUCCAGCCAUACCGCGUGGGUGAAGAAGGCCUUCGGGUUGUAAAGCCCUUUUGUUGGGAAAGAAAAGCAGCAGGUUAAUACCCCGCUGUUCUGACGGUACCCAAAGAAUAAGCACCGGCUAACUUCGUG